CUCCGAUGAUGAUACAGCCAUGCUAAUACUGAUACACCUUCCUGAGUGUAAGUGAGUUCAACUCACCUUCUCACGCUGAUUGUAUCGGUGUGGGCUGAGGAGA
rnacentral:snoRNA from 1 species